CUUUUACAACUCAGAACUAUCAGGAGUUUAAAAACAUAGUCAUGUUGUUGUGGGAUUCUGAAUGGAGAGUACAGAUGAAACAGCAGCCAUAACUCAACUCCCUUCAGAGUGAACCAGAGGAAUCCUCUGCUGGUGCUGGGUUUCCUGACUGCAUACCUCUCCUGUAACCUCAGAUGGUUUCCCUCUCCACUGCAGUGACCCUGUGCUGAGGCCAGGUGGGAAGAAGGAAAAGGUGCUAAUUCUGCUGCAGUGUGGCAUUUAGCACCUGCUGUGGUCCAGGGAAGUUAGAAAGGCUGCUACUUCAUGCAGAAUUUGUUUCAGUGUAGUCCAUAUUCUUUGAUCCAAAUGCCUAACCACUUGUAUGGCUUUGUGUUAACUGUAAGAACUCCAUGCAGAAGUACAUGAACUUUCUGUAGGUGAUUGUUUAUUACAAAAAAAAAAAAAAAAGACAGGAGUGGGGAGGAAGGGGCAACAGUGGAAAAGAGGCAACUGAAAGUAGGUUACCUGUAAAAAAUAUUUUCUUUUAUACAAUACAGAAUCUGCAUGUUGGCCUAGUUGCUGUAAUAUAGAAGUCUUUCCAUUCAAAUAAUGUUGUAACUGAACUGUCUCAUAGGGCUGUUGUGAAACUAAUAAUGCUUGCUAAUUGCUUUGACACUUUCAUAAAAGUUCCUAUGAAAUUAAUAGCUGUUCUUUUAUUUCCCAUAUUACAAUUGUGUUCAGGAACCGGAAUAUCUACUUUUAUCAGACGGUGGGUGGUAUCUACUUCAGUUUCUGCUUAUUUCCCCAAGUUGCAAAUUGACAUUACAGUAGCAAAGAAGAAAAGUAAAUAGGUGGUCCUGUAUUUCAUUUCUCAUGAUGUCACAAGAAGAACUCAUUCAAAUUAAAAUAAUGUAUUUUUCACUGCACAUGUAAUUAGUAUGAUUAGGCAAAAAGUUCCACAGAUAGCUUUGGGGACAAAUGCAGUCACCUUUUAUACUAUUCCAUGAGGUUUUUUGCUAACUAAUGUAUUACCGGCUUUUCUGAUGAUAAUUUAAUUUCUCCUUCAGUGAAUAGUACAUACGUUGUAAAUUUAUUUACGGGUGAAACAUGAUUUCUUGUGAAGCGGUGUCUGAUGGUCUGUAGAGCAGUUCCUGGAUGUUUACAUAGAGA
rnacentral:lncRNA from 1 species